CCUGGUUGAUCCUGCCAGUACCAUAUGCUUGUGUCAAAGAUUACACCAUGCACGUGUAAGUACACACAGCCUGUACAGUGAAACUGUCCAUGGCUCAUUAAAUCAGAUAUGGUUCCUUUGAGCGCUCCAUCUGUUACUUGAAUAACUGUGGUAAUUCUAGAGCUAAUACAUGGUGACGAGCGCUCACCUCCCGGGAUACGUGCAUUUAUCAGACAAAAAACAAUCCGGGCUUGCCCGGCCGCUUGGUGACAAGACAACCUCAGGCCGAAUCCAUGUCCCCAUGACGGCAAAGACAGAUUUGUAUGUCUACCCUAUAAACCUUUGAUGGUACUUUCUGUGCCUACCAUGGCGACCAUGGGUAACGGAAUCAGGGUUUCAUUGCAGAGAGGGAGUCUGAGAAGUGCCUUCCACAUCCAAGAAAGGCAGCCGCUGUGCAAAUUACCCACUCCCAACUGGGGGAGGUAGUGACAAAAAAAUAACAAUACAGGAUUCUUAUGAGGCCCUGUAAUUGGAAUGAGUACACUUUAAAUAUUUAACGAGGAUCCAUUGGAGGGUAAGUCCGGUGCCAGAAGCCUUGGUAAUUCCAGCUCCAAUAGCGUAUAAAGUUGCUGCAGUUAAAAAGCCUGUAGUUUGAUCUUGGGAUUGAGCUGGCGGUCCGCCGAGAGCCAAGCAAACGCCUGUCCCAGCCCUGCAUCUCAGCACCCCCUUGAUGCUCUUGACUGAGUGUCCUGGGCAUCUGAUCAUUUACUUAGAAAAAAUGUGAGUGUUCAAAGCAGGCCAGUCACUUGAAUACUUCAGCUAGAAAUAAUGGAGUAGGACUGUGUUUCUAUUUUGUUGGUUUUCGGAACUGAGGCCAUGAUCAAGAGGGGCGGCCGUGGGCAUUUGUAUUGUGCUGCUAGAGGACGAACCAAAGCGAAAGCAUUUGCCAAGAAACCUUUCAUUAAUCAAGAAUGAAAGGUGGAGGUUAGAAUAUGAUCAGAUACUGUCGUAGUUUCGACCAUAGACAAUACACACUAGCAAUCUGGUGGCUUUAUUCCUAUGACCCGCCAAGCAGCUUCUGGGAGACCAAAGUCUUUGGUUCGGGUGGGGGGGGAGUAUGGUUGCAAAGCUGAAACUUAAAGGAAUUGAUGGAAGGCCACCACAAGAAUUGGAGCCUGUGGCUUAAUUUGACUCCACACGGGAAACCGCACCCAGCCUGGACACAGAAAGGAUUGACAGAUUGAUAGCUCUUUCUCGAUUCUGUGAGUGGUGGUGCAUGGCCGUUCUUAGUUGGGGGAGCAAUUUAUCUGUUUAAUUCUGAUAACGAACAAGACUCCUCCAUGCUAACAAGUUACGUGACCCCCAGCGGACAGCGUUCAACUUCUUAGAGGGACAAGUGGCGCUCAGUCACACGAGAUCGAGCAAUAACCGGUCUCUGAUGCCCUUAGAUGCCCGGUGCUAUACUGAAUGGAUCAGUGUAGUCUACUCUUUGCCGACAGGUGCGGGUAACCUGCUGAACUCAGUUCAUGAUGGGGAUUGGGGAAUGCAAUUAUUUCCCAUGAACAAGGAGUUCCCAGUAAGUGCGGUUCAUAAACUCAUGUUGAUGAAGUCCCUGCUCUUUUUACACACCACACGUCGCUACUACCGAUUGGAUGGUUUAUCGAGAACCUAGGGUCUGCUCUGCUGGGGUCGGCAACGGCCCUGGCGGAGUGGCAAAAAUACAAUCAAACUUGACUAUAUAGAGGAAGUAAAAGUCAUAGCAAGGUUUCUAUAGGUGAACCUGCUGAAG
rnacentral:rRNA from 1 species